rnacentral:rRNA from 1 species
CAAUAGCGUAUAUUAAAGUUGUUGCGGUAAAAAGCUCGUAGUUGGAUUUCUGCCAAGGGCGACCGGUCCGUACCAUGUGCGCGCAUCUGGUUUGACCUCGGCAUCCUCUCGGAGAGCGUUACUGCGCUUGAUUGCGUGGUACGGUGUUCGAGACUUUUACUUUGAGGAAAUUAGAGUGUUCACGGCAGGCUAACGCCAGAAUACAUUAGCAUGGAAUAAUACUACAGGAUCUUGAUUCUAUUUUGUUGGUUUCUAGGAUUAGGAUAAUGAUUAAUAGGGACAAUUGGGGGCAUUCGUAUCAAGACGUCAGAGGUGGAAUUCUUGGAUUGUCUUGCGACGAACUACUGCGAAAGCAUUUGCCAAGGAUGUUUUCAUUGAUCAAGAACGAAAGUAAGGGGAUCGAAGACGAUCAGAUACCGU